rnacentral:rRNA from 1 species
AUACGUAGGUGACAAGCGUUAUCCGGAUUUACUGGGCGUAAAGGGCGUGUAGGCGGUCUUGCAAGUCAGAAGUGAAAUUCCUGAGCUCAACUCGGGCGCUGCUUCUGAAACUGCAGGACUUGAGUGCUGGAGGGGAUAGCGGAAUUCCUAGUGGAGCGGUGAAAUGCAUAGAUAUCACGAAGAACUCCGAUCGCGAAGGCAGCCUUCCGGCCCGUCAACGACGCUCAUGCUCGAAGGUGCGGGUAUCAAACAGGAUUAGAUACCCUGGUAGUCCGCACAGUAAACGAUGGACACCCGCGGUUUGGCCUGUAUGGCUGAGCCGCCAAGCGAAAGCGUUAAGUGUCCCACCUGGGGAGUACGCCGGCAACGGUGAAACUCAAAGGAAUUGACGGGG